CCUACGGUGGGCAGCAGUGGGGAAUAUUGGGCAAUGGGCGCAAGCCUGACCCAGCAACGCCGCGUGAAGGAAGAAGGCUUUCGGGUUGUAAACUUCUUUUCUCAGGGACGAAGCAAGUGACGGUACCUGAGGAAUAAGCCACGGCUAACUACGUGCCAGCAGCCGCGGUAAUACGUAGGUGGCAAGCGUUAUCCGGAUUUACUGGGUGUAAAGGGCGUGUAGGCGGGACGGCAAGUCAGAUGUGAAAACCCUGGGCUCAACCUAUGGCCUGCAUUUGAAACUGUAGUUCUUGAGUGCUGGAGGGGCAGACGGAAUUUCUAGGGUAGCGGUGAAAUGCGUAGAUAUUAGGAGGAACACCAGUUGCGAAGGGGGGUUGCCGGACAGCAACUGAAGGUGAGGGGCGAAAGGGUGGGGAGCAAACAGGAUUAGAUACCCCAGUAGUC
rnacentral:rRNA from 1 species